AUUGAACGCUGGCGGCAGGCCUAACACAUGCAAGUCGAACGAGUGGCGGACGGGUGAGUAAUGUCUGGGAAACUGCCUGAUGGAGGGGGAUAACUACUGGAAACGGUAGCUAAUACCGCAUACCAUCAGAUGUGCCCAGAUGGGAUUAGCUAGUGGGUGGGGUAACCGCUCACCAAGGCGACGGUCCCUACCUGGUCUGAGAGGAUGAACAGCCAAACGGGAACUGAGAAACGGGCCAGACUGCUACGGGAGGCAGCAGUGGGGAAUAUUGCACAAUGGGCGCAAGCCUGAUGCAGCCAUGCCGCGUGUAUGAAGAAGGCCUUCGGGUUGUAAAGUACUUUCAGCGUGGAGGCGUUACCCGCAGAAGAAGCACCGGCUAACUCCGUGCCAGCAGCCGCGGUAAUAC
rnacentral:rRNA from 1 species